rnacentral:rRNA from 1 species
GACGAACGCUGGCGGCGUGCUUAACACAUGCAAGUCGAACGGUGAAGGGACCGGUUUUUGCUGGUUCUGGGUGAGUGGCGAACGGGUGAGUCACACGUGCGUAACCUGCCCCCCUCUUCUGGAUAACCGCAUGAAAGUGUAUCUCAUACGGGAUAUUCUGCGCCUGCUGCAUGGUGGGUGUGGGAAAGAUAUUGUUUCUGUGGGGGGUGGGCUCGCGGCCUAUCAGCUUGUUGGUGGGGUGAAGGCCUACCACGGCGGUGACGGGUAGGCGGCCUGAGAGGGUGGACGGUAACACGGGUGCGGAGACGCCGCGACGCCUCCGAGGGGAGGCAGCAGGGGAGAUUAGUGCACAGUGGGAGGAAGGAUGAUGCAGCGACGCCGCGGGGAGGAUGGAGGCCUGCGGGUUGUAAACCUCUUUCGCGAGUGAAGCAGGCCUGUCCCUUGUGUGGGUGGGUUGACGGUAGCUGGAGAAGAAGCGCCGGCUAACUACGUG